rnacentral:rRNA from 13 species
ACCCCGGGAGGGGAGUGAAAAGAUUCUGAAAUCUGAUGCAUACAAACAGUGGGAGCGCAAAAGCGUGACUGCGUACCUUUUGUAUAAUGGGUCAACGACUUACAUUGAUUAGCAAGCUUAACCAGGUAGGGGAGGCGUAGGGAAACCGAGUCUGAAUAGGGCGAUAGUUGAUUGAUGUAGACCCGAAACCGAGUGAUUUAUCCAUGUCCAGGAUGAAGGUUAGGUAACACUGACUGGAGGUCCGAACCUACUAAUGUUGCAAAA